UGCUCACCAGUGAUGUCAAAAAACAUAAAUGUCUGAACAAAUGAUAUCCCAUGAUAUCAAUGUUAUACUGAGGGGAGCU